UGCCAGCAGCCGCGGUAAUACGGAGGGGGCGAGCGUUAUUCGGAAUUACUGGGCGUAAAGGGUGCGUAGGCGGCCCAUCAAGUUAGACGUGAAAGCCCCGGGCUCAACCUGGGAAUUGCAUUCCAAACUUGCGGACUAGAGGACAGGAGGGGGAAGUGGAACUCCAGGUGGAGCGGUGAAAUGCGUAGAUAUCUGGAGGAACACCGGUGGCGAAAGCGACUACCUGGCCUGUCCCUGACGCUGAGGCGCGAAAGCGUGGGUAGCAAACAGGAUUAGAUA
rnacentral:rRNA from 1 species